GGGGGUACAGCUCAGUGGUAGAGCACAUGAUUAGCAUGCAUGAGGUCCUGGGUUCAAUCCCCAGUACCUCAG
rnacentral:tRNA from 1 species